rnacentral:sRNA from 1 species
UAGCCCACAUGCUAGUUCAAGAACAACUUCAGACUGGUCAAAUAGAAACUACUGUUAGUACUUGGAAUACAACCAUUUUUGUAGUUAAGAAAAAUUCUGGUAAAUGGAGGUUGUUACAAGAUCUCAGGGCAAUAAAUGGUGUUAUCAAGCCAAUGAGAGCUUUACAACCAGAGCUUCCUUCUUCUACAGCCAUUUAUUUAGAUUAUCAUCUACUGGUAAUAUAUUUAAAGGAUUGUUUCUUUACAACCAGAUGACUGUAAAAAUGUUGCCUUCAG